rnacentral:rRNA from 1 species
GAUCCUGGCUCAGAACGAACGCUGGCGGCAGGCUUAACACAUGCAAGUCGAGGGGCAGCAUGGUCUUAGCUUGCUAAGGCUGAUGGCGACCGGCGCACGGGUGAGUAACACGUAUCCAACCUGCCGUCUACUCUUGGCCAGCCUUCUGAAAGGAAGAUUAAUCCAGGAUGGGAUCAUGAGUUCACAUGUCCGCAUGAUUAAAGGUAUUUUCCGGUAGACGAUGGGG